UUUCUUACUAAGUUACUUUGGAAUGCAUCGUCGAGAGGCUUCUACCAACUGUAUUUGCAGUAUGGCUGAUUGCAGUUCUUCGAAAGAUGCUCAACUGAUCAUUUUGUAGGAGAAGCAUCUGAAAAAUUGUUAUGCAUUUAUAGAUUGUUGCUCGUAGAUAAUGGUAUUACCAUAUCGCCUGAAGAAUGGUGCUUCCCUAUUGAAAAAUUUCAGGAAAAAAGAGCAAUAUAUCUGAGAAUUUUUCAGAUAUUAGGUGACAUGCUAUAAGUUCUUCAGCAAUGACGCUUGAUAACUAAAUGUACUCGAGAUUUUCUUAGCAAUUUUGUUCUGCUUGUUCGAGCCUAAUAUCAAGAAAAAUAAAUCAUGAAAACUAUAAAUUUUUACACAUGUAAAAAAAAAAUAAGACCAACUAACAAUUAUAUAUAUUUAAGUUGAGGUUUUAAAAUUUCCAUCAUUCAUCCCUGAUCUAAGUUGCGGACUCUUCACUUUCGAUGCCGCACCCGUGUCAAACUCUUCAAAAAUACACUACUUUUGGCGAAUCCGACACACACCUCUUGACAUUUUUAAAGAGUCCGAGCAACAUAGUCCUUGAUUAUGAGACAUGACAAGCAUAAAUACCCAUGGAUCUUAAAAUCAUUUAUCACCUCUAUACAACCAUAAGAAAGUAAAAGAGAGAGAGAUAAAAAGUUAGGAUAAGAAAUUAUACCAAUAUCUUAAUGCAUGAAUUAUGAAUGUUCAACAUAGGCAAACUAAUCACCUUUGCAUUCUUAGAAAAUCACUAUCAAACUGUUAUCAAGUGUAUUUAUCUGAAAUAAAAACCCUCAAAUUUAUUCAUAUAGCUAAAUCGAGAAGCUGUCUGUCGGUAGUCAUUUCGAGACUCUAAUGUUUGAACCUCUAAAAAUGAAAUUGGAAGCUGAAAUUGGAACAUUGUCCUAAUAGCAUGAUCUUGUGGACUCUCUCGUCAAAUAUUUUUUAUGACUGAGAAACUACCGAGAUAAUGGAUUUAUCACAAUGUUGUUAUUCACUUAAAUACAAAAUUUGAUAUAACACCCAAACGUCAAACGUGUGAUGUACACCUAGCACAUUUUCGCGUUCCACAUAGCACAACAUUUACUGUUGAACCAAACCCCUAGAACAUGGGGAUUCUCUUGGCAUUCACCAGUCAUUUUUAAAAAAAAUAAACCGAUUGUUGUUUCAUCAUAGGUACUCUUUUUAUAGAUCAACUAAUUUAGUGAAGAACAAACAAUCCCUUGGUCCCAAAUAACAAGGCAACUUUUACCCUCAUAGAUUAAGAAAAACACUGCAAAUAUUAGAUAGUAAUUUAUUCGAUUAGGUCAUAUGGUAAGACUUUCUCCUACAUGCCAAUUGUGUUUGAAAACAUAAGGUACAAUAGAUGACAUUCUUAUUCCAUACAACUUAAGCUAUCCAUCUAUAAUUGUGGCGGACAAUUAUUCUUUAGGAAAAAAACUAUGCCACAUCUUAUAACUAUGUUUUUCUAUUCAAUACUUUAGUGCUUACUUCCUUUAAUCUUAUUCUUAUUGCUUCCCAAGAGUCAAAACAAUGGAUAAUAGAAUGAUUGGAAAUAACUUAUGACAUAUUUCUCAAAUAUGACCUCAUCUAUGACAUAUUUAAACAAUUGUUUAAAGCCUAAAUAGCCUAAAUUGUAAAUACAAAAUACACCUCUGUGAACUUCUAAAAUAUCUUUUAGUCAUAGCCACUGGCCCUAUUGGUCCUAUUCAUAUGAUUUUUCAUUAAUGAAAUUGCAAUAUCUAAAUAGAGGUGGGGAUGGAGUCACCCUCUAAAACCUAGUGAUAAAUGCGAUAGCUUAUGUGGAAGUUCAUAUGAGCAACUCAAAUCCAAAAGUGGAAUAAAACUGCCUAUCCUCAAAAGUUUCGCAAGCAUAUAAUUCUAAAUCACCAUCAUCUUUUCAUAAAAAAAAAUUAUUUCAUCAAAAGUCACCAUCUAAAUGAAAAUUUGAAUAUAUAACAUAUAAGUAUCAUAAGAAGAACAAAGAAAAAAAAUACCAAAAAGGAACAAUGAAAAAAAAGUAACUUGCUACUGCUUUCCAGAAAAUAUGACAGUAUAUACCUGGAUUUAAUCAUAGAUACCUUCAGGUUCACAAUCAUAAAGAUAACAAGCUCUAAGUGUUUGUUGAAACGUCAGCACCUACAAAGAGAUAAAAAAACAACUAUUAAGAAAGCUGAAAAUAGUAAAAGAACUGUAUCGAAUGCAUACGCUUCUCUGCUAAAAUAUUAUUGAAAGUGAAUAAGGAGAAUUGAAGGCUAUUCUUCUUCUUUUUUCUUUUUUAUAAAAUUGAGGUAGGAAAAAUGGGGAUUAAAUUACAAUGUGGGUGGAGAAUUGAACCUUGGAUGGGAGCUACUGAGAUUCCCCAAACGGAAGGCUGUUCUGUUUUAGCAACAACCAAUGUUUCUG
rnacentral:lncRNA from 1 species